GAUGAAGAACGCAGCGAAAUGCGAUACGUAAUGUGAAUUGCAGAAUUCAGAGAAUCAUCGAAUCUUUGAACGCAUAUUGCGCUCUCUGGUAUUCCGGAGAGCAUGCUUGUUUGAGUAUCAGUAAACACCUCAACUUCCAUAUCUUUUUUGAAAUGGGAGUUGGACUUGAGUGAUCCCAACGCUUUUCCUCACCGAAAAGUGGCGGGUUACUUGAAAUGCAGGUGCAGCUGGACUUUUCUCUGAGCUAUAAGCAUAUCUAUUUAGUCUGCCUAAAAAACAGAUUAUUACCUUUGCUGCAGCUAACAUAAAGGAGAUUAGUUCUUGUGCUGACUGAUGCAGGAUUCACAAAGACAGGCUUCGGCCGACUUUGUAAACUCGAUCUCAAAUCAAGUAAGACUACCCGCUGAACUUAAGCAUAUCAAUAAGCGGAGGA
rnacentral:misc_RNA from 1 species